rnacentral:rRNA from 1 species
CAAUAGCGUAUAUUAAAGUUGCUGCGGUUAAAAAGCUCGUAGUUGGAUUUCUGUUGAGGAAGGCCGGUCCGCACUAUGUGCGUGUAUCUGGUUCUGCCUCGGCAUCCUCUCGAAUGCCGGGCUGCGCUUAAUUGCGUGGGUCUGACUCGGGACUUUUACUUUGAGGAAAUUAGAGUGUUCACGGCAGGCAAGCGCCAUGAAUAUAUUAGCAUGGAAUAAUGAUAUAGGAUCUUGGUCCUAUUUUGUUGGUUUCUAGGGCUAAGAUAAUGAUUAAUAGGGACAAUUGGGGGCAUUCGUAUUAACGCGUCAGAGGUGGAAUUCUUGGAUUGCGUUACGACGAACUACUGCGAAAGCAUUUGCCAAGGAUGUUUUCAUUGA